rnacentral:tRNA from 1 species
CGGGCCAUAGUGUAACGGUAACAUGCACGAUUCGGGUUCGUGUGAUUCCCGGUUCAAAUCCGGGUGGCCCGA